AUUGAACGCUGGCGGCAGGCCUAACACAUGCAAGUCGAGCGGCGGCGGAAGGAAGCUUGCAUUCUUGCCGGCGAGCGGCGGACGGGUGAGUAAGGUAUGGGGAUCUGGCCGAAGGCGGGGGAUAACCACUGGAAACGGUGGCUAAUACCGCAUAAUCUCUAAGGAGCAAAGUGGGGGACCGUUCAGGCCUCACACCUUCGGAUGAACCCAUAUGAGAUUAGCUAGUAGGUGGGGUAAUGGCUCACCUAGGCGACGAUCUCUAGCUGGUCUGAGAGGAUGAUCAGCCACACUGGGACUGAGACAAGGCCCAGACUCCUACGGGAGGCAGCAGUGGGGAAUAUUGCACAAUGGGCGCAAGCCUGAUGCAGCCAUGCCGCGUGUAUGAAGAAGGCCUUCGGGUUGUAAAGUACUUUCAGUCGUGAGGAAGGUGUUAAGGUUAAUAACCUUAGCAAUUGACGUUAGCGACAGAAGAAGCACCGGCUAACUCCGUGCCAGCAGCCGCCGUAA
rnacentral:rRNA from 1 species